rnacentral:lncRNA from 1 species
CCAUGAGGUAAACAGGUCGGGUCGGGAUGGAUUUGCCAUGCAUCCUCAGGAGAGAUGAAAUGUUUAAACCAAUCUGAGCAUCUUCUCUUGUCUUUAAUUGUCACCCAGAGUGCACUAAGAACGCCUGCAGCCCUACAACCGGAGAUACUCAACCCUCCAUCCUCACCGAGUUCACCAGAACCUUCACCUGGGAGCUGACGGCACCAGAGAAGAUAGUCGUGAGUCUGAACAUCCUCGGAGAAGGACUGUUGGAGACCACACAGCCAUGCUCGAAUGGAUUUCAGUAUUUUGUCGCAAACGGCAAAGACCAGACUCGGUACUGUCGAGGCGGUUCUGUGACGACUUUGGACCUGCCGGACAAAGCUGUCAUUUCUCUACAAGUUAAACCAAACGCUGCAGUUGAGCCUGUGUUGUUCCAAGCCUCCGCUGGACCAAUAAGUAAGAAAAUAUUGAAACUCUUUUAAGAAAGCCUGAGCAUAAACCUAAAGAUGGGUUUACAGUAGCCGGUGGAAGCUCAAAAAUCCUCUGUGUUUCACUCGUUCCUUUUUACUCCUUCAGAGGGCCGAACAAUGGUUGUAAGUGUUGAUUCCAGCACGACGGUGGUGGUUAGCCGUAAUCCUGGCAAACCAGAAUGUGAAGUGUGCUCUCCGGAUGGAUCCACUCCCAACUGUAGCCCGACGGAAAAGACCCUGACGAACGUUGAUAAACUCUCACUGGAGUUCAGCUGCCCCAAACCCCAGGACAUGUACAGCAUGAAGAUGAACAAGAAGAUAGGAUGCACCACGGCCUUGUGCACUCCUGCUGCCGGAGAAGUCGAUCCUGAACUCUUCAAGGACUUUAAAAGGUCCCUAACAUGGGACAUCAGUGUCCCAGACAGGACCGUGUUAACUCUGGACUUCCCUGGUGGAUUAAAGGAGAUAACCGGAGCAGAAAGUUGCCAAGAUGGCCACCAGUACUCAGUGAGUACAACAAAAAGAGACGGAAAGGUCAAAACCAACAGUUACUGCAAGGGCAGGACAGUUUCUCAGCUGGAUCUGCUCGGGGCGACGACAACUGUGACUGUAGACGUGCCCAAAGACGGAGAACUGGACCCGUCAUUAUUCACCGUCAAGGCAGCACCAAGAGGCAAGUGCCAGAACAACAUGUCAAAUACAAAGUCAUAUAAAACGAAGUUACAACCUUUAAAUUGACACAAACAUGCGUCAUUAAAUAUACCUGACAUUACGUUGGCGAAACAGUUUUCAUAAUAGUGUAGACCACCGUGUUUGGGUACAGUUAGGUGACUAAAACUUCAAUUUAGUGUCUUUCUCAGACUUUGUUUUUAGCUUUAUUUCACAGAGACAAUGCUCGAUAACCUUAAUGAGCUGGAGUUAGCAUAGCAAGUUAGCAAGAAACUUUCAUGUGUUGUCCCUGGCCAAAUGUUUA